CAUAUUGUGCAGUAUAGAUUAUCUUUAUAAUUAGAUAAGAAAUCAAAUAAAGAUUAAUUUAUUAAGGCACUUUCUGACCUUGGUACACCAAUAUCAUGUGAUAAAUUAUCAAGCAGCGGGUUAUCUAUUACACGCAUUGACAGAAUGGCAUCUUCUUUCGGCGAUCUUUUCCUUGCUAGAAUUGUUAUUGUUUUCAUUACGGGUGAAUAAACAUGCAAGUUAUCUGUGGGUGAUCCAAUGAGUAUCUAUGCAGCAAGAAGUAAAGCCCUUACAUCAUGUAAUAUUAUUAUAAAGUACAACACACACAGGUAUUCGUGGAACUACAUCUAUAAUGCCAACUGUGUCGUAUGCAACAUCCAACCCUUCGCGAAUACCCAAUAAACAGCCUCGCUACCAGUUUACAAGAGAAGAAAUGGGUACUGCCACAAAAAAAUCUUGCAUGGGGCCUCCACUUCAGUCGCCAAGGAGUUUAAAACGAAAAAUAAUAGCUUCAAGCUCAACCAAACCCGAAUCGUCAUCAAGUGGUCCCAGGCCAAGAGUGCUGGCCAGCGAUUCUGCGGCGGAUACCCAAGACAUGGUGACGCCUAAAAACAGACCUAGUGCUUUGAGAUACAUCAGCAGUAGUAG